rnacentral:rRNA from 1 species
UACAGGGGGGGCAAGCGUUGUUCGGAAUUACUGGGCGUAAAGGGUUCGUAGGUGGCCACUUAAGUCAGACGUGAAAUCCCUCAGCUUAACUGGGGAACUGCGUCUGAUACUGGGUGGCUUGAGUGCAGGAGAGGAAUGCGGAAUUCCAGGUGUAGCGGUGAAAUGCGUAGAUAUCUGGAGGAACACCGGUGGCGAAGGCGGUUCUCUGGGCCUGUACUGACGCUCAUGCACGAAAGCGUGGGGAGCAAACAGG